rnacentral:rRNA from 1 species
GACGAACGCUGGCGGCGUGCCUAAUACAUGCAAGUAGAACGCUGAAGGAGGAGCUUACUUCUCUGGAUGAGUUGCGAACGGGUGAGUAACGCGUAGGUAACCUGCCUGGUAGCGGGGGAUAACUAUUGGAAACGAUAGCUAAUACCGCAUAAGAGUAGAUGUUGCAUGACAUUUACUUAAAAGGUGCAAUUGCACCACUACCAGAUGGACCUGCGUUGUAUUAGCUAGUUGGUGGGGUAACGGCUUACCAAGGCGACGAUACAUAGCCGACCUGGUAGGGUGAUCGGCCACACUGGGACUGAGACACGGCCCAGACUCCUACGGGAGGCAGCAGUAGGGAAUCUUCGGCAAUGGACGGAAGUCUGACCGAGCAACGCCGCGUGAGUGAAGAAGGUUUUCGGAUCGUAAAGCUCUGUUGUAAGAGAAGAACGAGUGUGAGAGUGGAAAGUUCACACUGUGACGGUAUCUUACCAGAAAGGGACGGCUAACUACGUGCCAGCCGCCGCGGUAA